rnacentral:lncRNA from 1 species
CCGGGACCCGGCACUUGACCGGUCCGGUUGAUGCUCCAAACCCGGGAAAAUCAAGACCCGGGGUUAAUUGCUCAAAAACCCGGUUCAACCGCCCAAAACCGGAAAACCGGAAACCGGUCAAAGAACCCGGUUUUCUGUGAAUAUAGCUGAAUAGGUUGGUCGGCGGAGGACGGAGCUCGCCGUCAGUGACUAGAUCUGGGUAAAAAAUAGCCGGAAUUCAUCGUAGGUGAACGGAUCUUGCCGUCGGUAGCCGGAUCUGUUGGUCCAAGAUAGAUGCAAGAUGGGAUGGGUAAUAUAUGAAGGGUUAAGGAAGAUAGGUGCUGUUUGAAUUAAGAUGGAGAUUAAAAAAAAAUUGAAGAGGAUUGUGACCGGUGUUGACUGGUGCAACAUAUGGGAAGAAGGAGAAGGAAAAUGGAGGU